ACUUGGUGCUUGUAAAGUUUUUUCCGUUAGAUCUAUACCUUUGAUCAUUUUUAUCCGUUAGAUUAUGUUAUUCAACCAACCACCCACUUAACCUUAGGGAGCCCACAUCAUCCUAACCGCACAUCCCUUAAUCCAAUGGUCAAAAACUUACAAGCACCAAUGACUUGGUACUUUUAAAAGUAUAGGAGCUCAAUUCUAUAUAUAUAUAUACUAACUUGAUACACUUGAAAUAUUUGAAACCACAGAGUACUAACUUGAUACAUUUGAAACCACAAGGUACUAAAGUGAGAAAGUGCGAAACUACAAAAUACUAAAGUGAAAAAGUGCGAAACUACAGGGUACUAACUUGAUACACUUUAAAACACAUGAUAGUAAAAUAAAAAAGUGCGAAACUACGGGAGGGUUUUUGAAGUUUUCCCUAACAUUUAAUUAGGG
rnacentral:lncRNA from 1 species